rnacentral:rRNA from 1 species
GACGAACGCUGGCGGCGUGCUUAACACAUGCAAGUCGAACGGAAAGGCCCUGCUUUUGUGGGGUGCUCGAGUGGCGAACGGGUGAGUAACACGUGAGUAACCUGCCCUUGACUUUGGGAUAACUUCAGGAAACUGGGGCUAAUACCGGAUAGGAGCUCCUGCUGCAUGGUGGGGGUUGGAAAGUUUCGGCGGUUGGGGAUGGACUCGCGGCUUAUCAGCUUGUUGGUGGGGUAGUGGCUUACCAAGGCUGUGACGGGUAGCCGGCCUGAGAGGGUGACCGGCCACAUUGGGACUGAGAUACGGCCCAGACUCCUACGGGAGGCAGCAGUGGGGAAUAUUGCACAAUGGGCGGAAGCCUGAUGCAGCAACGCCGCGUGCGGGAUGACGGCCUUCGGGUUGUAAACCGCUUUCGCCUGUGACGAAGCGUGAGUGACGGUAAUGGGUAAAGAAGCACCAGCUAACUACGUG